ACUGAUUGAACGUGCUUGCACGGACUUGACGUUGGUUUACCAGCGAGUGGCGGACGGGUGAGUAACACGUAGGUAACCUGCCCCAAAGCGGGGGAUAACAUUUGGAAACAGAUGCUAAUACCGCAUAACAAUUUGAAUCGCAUGAUUCAAAUUUAAAAGAUGGCUUCGGCUAUCACUUUGGGAUGGACCUGCGGCGCAUUAGCUUGUUGGUAGGGUAACGGCCUACCAAGGCUGUGAUGCGUAGCCGAGUUGAGAGACUGAUCGGCCACAAUGGAACUGAGACACGGUCCAUACUCCUACGGGAGGCAGCAGUAGGGAAUCUUCCACAAUGGGCGCAAGCCUGAUGGAGCAACACCGCGUGAGUGAAGAAGGGUUUCGGCUCGUAAAGCUCUGUUGUUAGAGAAGAACGUGCGUGAGAGCAACUGUUCACGCAGUGACGGUAUCUAACCAGAAAGUCACGGCUAACUACGUGCCAGCAGCCGCGGUAAUACGUAGGUGGCAAGCGUUAUCCGGAUUUAUUGGGCGUAAAGCGAGCGCAGGCGGUUUGAUAAGUCUGAUGUGAAAGCCUUUGGCUUAACCAAAGAAGUGCAUCGGAGACUGUCAGACUUGAGUGCAGAAGAGGACAGUGGAAAUCCAUGUGGUAG
rnacentral:rRNA from 1 species